UCAAAAAAUUAAUCAAUAUAUUUUUGGCCGUAUGUAUUUUUAAGGUUUUAAUAAUUAAUUAAGUUACUUAUUUAUGUAUUUUUGCAAACAACUAAUUUCACAAUCUAAUCGCCCCGCAUAAACGCCAAAAGUAACUAAGCACUCUUGAUGAUGAUGGCGCGCGAUGAGAGCCAACAGCGGAUGCAAAAACAUCCUUCAAAAUAUAAAGUCAUUUUAGUUUAUUAUAAUUACAAAUAAAGAGCAGGAUGCAGGGGCUUAUGUUGAUCCUAGAAGGGGAGAGGCUUUUCCGAGAUUUCAUCCUGACAGCCUGGCUCUCUUCCUGCCCGCCUAUCCCCAGCCCGUCCCAGCCAGGCUAAUGGCCAAUUUAAAAGUAUGAAAUUCCCGUCGCUUGACUUGCGCUUAUUUUAAGCUCGUAUUUUUAUUUGAGCUUCUUGAGCAGUUUAGGCCACAACUUUGAUGAUGAGGCGACCGUGUCAGCUGCUAAUAAGCAUCGCUCUAAGCAAUUUGCCUCCAAUAAAAGCCACACACCGCACCAGGCCUAAGUCGUACUCGUACAUAUAAUGUCCUAACCGCCCGCCUUCCCCUGCCAUGCCACCGUCUAAAAAACAGGCCAAAAAACUUGCAACUUUUCCAAUUAGCGUAAAACAGACGUUUGAGUCCAAAAGUACACGAGAGAGUUCAAGUCCGAGAGCUGCCGGAGGUGUGGGUGUCGUCCCGCCCCCCAUCUGGAUCCUCUUCAGCAGCCGAAGAUGAGUCCAAUGCCAUAGUAAAUGUUGCGUAAAACAACUGCGGACACGGGAUGGUGGUUGUCCACACCCCCUAGACCCACCCAUCCUGCAGACCCUACCCUCCAUUAUCCUUGCACCCCGCACCCUUCGCAGAUUUACAAUUGAACAAAAGAGCAAUUGGGAAUUAUGAGAGGGGAAAAACUUUUUUAACAACAAUAACGAAACGUAAAGAAAACACUCGGACAAAAUACAAAAAAAAAAUUAUUUGAAAAUAACUGAACCAAGGAUGUUUUCAGAGUAAAUAAAAUUGGAAUGAAUAUUAAUAAAAAGUGGAUAUCAUUGUGUUGAUUUCCCUAAAAGUGACCCAUUUGAUAGAAAUAUGAUAUAUUAAUGGCCUCAUUAACUCAAUCUGAAAUCAAAGUAAUUAACUUCACAUUAAAUAAUAUUAAGAGCUAGUAAUGAAGUCAUUAACCUUUUUAUAAAAUGUAUUUUUAAAAUUAUUACAAUAUAUUUUUACAGAUUUUUUCACUAAUUUUUUAACGUGCUUUCAGUCUGAGAAAAAAUAUUGAAAACUUGUGCGUUCAACUUGAUAUGCUGCAAAAAGUAAAUGUGCAACAAUGUGGUGGACUGGGGUGGCAGCAGCUUAAAUUGUACAAGCAAGUGCCCCGGCCCCACUGCCACUGCCAUAGCCCCACGUAGCCCAUUCCAGAGGAUGCUGCACUUCAGCUAUUAAUUCUUGAACAAUUUCCAGAGGCAAAAGUUUGUCUCAUUGGGUGGGGGAAUCUGGGAAUCUGAAAGAAAAAAAACCAAAAAAUAUUUUAAAGAAAAAAGCGACUACCCACGACGCGUACAUUUAUUUUCAAUGUUUCAUUACUUAACGACUUUUUGAUGACAGUUUUAUUGGCAUUUAAACAAAAAUUGAAGUGUUCUCUUUAGCCAUACAUAUUUUUCACAUUUUUCGGUUGAUUUUGGUGCUCUUUUGUCCAAGUACAUCGUAAAACAUUAAACAUGAGAAAAGCGCACACAAACCGUGCAACUUCGCUAUGAUCGAGGGGCUGCGGCCGGAAAAAUGAGACCAUCAAAGCCGAGUGGGAAAAUUGUGGAUGCCAAAGGAAGGGGAGGUUGCCAUGCAACAGAGGUUGCCAUGUUUGCAACGGAUUUUCGGGGGGAAAGAGUUGGGGGUGAUACUGGGCGGGGUUGCUUGGCGUAUAAUCUGCAAUUAUAUUGAAGCAUUCAGAUUCAAAUUCAUGCAACACUUUCUGGCAGAAAGUUGAGCAAGUUUCUUCAACGAUUGCUGCACAAACACAAAAAUGUGAUAGAAAUAUGAAAAGUCUGCCAGAGUUACAGCUCUGCCCUUCCGAGUGGGCUUCAGAAAUAGCUAAAUGGUAAUUUUGAAAAGAGCAAAAUGAAAUCAAAAUAGAGAUGCAAGCGUAUUUAAUAGAAUAAUAAAAUUGAGAUACUUGAGAGUCAGAAGUGCCAAAGAACAUAAAGCUGGCACUUUUUAUUGAAAUUGUUCGUUUGCUUUUAGGAUAUAUUUGAGUUUGAAAAGUAAAUGAAAGACUAAGAACUUGUAGUGCGAGGUAUUAUAAGUAUUAUUUGAAAUUAUAGAAAAGGUGAUAUUAGUAAACUUAAUACAAAUAAUCUUAUAUAUUAUAAGAAAUAUAGAUAACUAAAGCUUACUAAUUUUUGUCUUAUUUGUUCCAUAUUUUCUAUACAAUGUAUCCUUCAUCAUAUUAAGCUCCAAUUCACCCUCCACCCGCCAAUAAACCAUUUUUUUUUCAAAUAAAUUUGAAUAACAAAUUAAUCCUGGCCAAUCCUAGCGGGGUAAAAACCAAACCAAACAAAGGAAAAAAAAACAAAUUUACGCAACGCCCACACAAUUUAUUUAAACAAUUUUUUCCGCGUCUUCAUUUUUUUUAGAGGGAUUUGGGGUAAUUUGCGUAUUUUUUUUUUCCUUUCAUUCUAUUUAGCUCGCCCUGUCGUCGAGUCUUGAGGGUUGUGGCAGCUGUGGCAAGGGUGUCAAGGGUGCGGAAUGUCCGCAAUGUCCGAGUAAUUUGCCACUCGUCCAUUUUAAAUUACAUUAGUUGAGUCGCGCCAAAGAACCAAGUUGGGGGAGUGUCGAAAGGCGGGAGUUCUGGUCAAAUGCAUAUUUCUUGUUUCAAUUACUUUCAGGGGAGGCGACGGCAAGGAGGGCGAUGGCAAGGACCCAGUUGAUGGCUCUGGCUAAGCUCGCGGCGGAUUCUUCAGCACCAGCGGAUAUUUUAUGUCCACCCACAGCCCACUACUAACCCACCAUCUACCAUCCGCAUUUUUCUUAAUGAAAUUUGCAUAUAAAUUGCAGGACCCCAAAGUUGGAAGUUGAAAGUUGAUUUCGAUUAUUUGAUGGGCGACUUUCAUGGAGUCCUCACAACAACAUCAUCAUCCAUUGUCUGCGGGAUUCUGCUGGCUUCCAUCUUGUUUAUCCACCGUCGCUGUUGUCUUCUUUCAUUUUGUUGUGGAUUUCAGUUUUUUCUUCCUUUCUUUCUGUUUUUUUUAUUUUUUAUUUUUUUGUCUAGGUUGUCAAAAUGUCGACUUGUUUAUCUUUUACAUGACGCAACACUAUGGCAUCAGCAUCAUCAUGGUCAUCAUCAUGAACAUCACCAUCAUCAACCUCCAUGUCGAGGUUGUUGGUUCGUUGCAUUGCCAUCCAGCGAUGUGGCAUGCCGCACGCCAAGUGGAGCGCACUGCCGGAAAAGUAUGCAGCUCCAUUUUCGCGCUUUUCCGACCACCGCCCCCUUGAUGCCAUGCCAUUCCAUCCCAUGCCAUGCUAUGCCUGCCGUGCCCCGGAAAAUGAGUGAAACUAAAGCCGGCUGGCUGAGUGGCAUUUAAUGCACAACCAGGACACAAAGUCGGGACAACCGUAGAUAUAACCACCGAGAUUGUGAUGCACACUGAAUUCUGGCUUAUGCAUAUGGCCCAAAUGGAAUCCUUCCGACGGAAGCACAUCCUACGGUUAUUGGUUUAAAAAGGAUUAUGAAUUUCUUCACACUCUGACAUACUCAUAUUUUGUGGGAAUUUUAAUAAAUCAUUAUAAAAUAAUGGAACGUCUCCUGGGAGCUAUAGGCCUGGGAGCUAAAAAAUACCACAAAUAAGCUGAGCCCAAAAAAAAUUGGGCUAUUUAUGAUUUAUUUUGUAUAAUCUCCUGGGAGUUCAAAGAGCCGCUGGGGUGUUACCAUUGAUGUGUGAUUUUUUGCCACUUAAUUUAUAAUAAAGAUUAAAUGACUUUGAAGAAAUCCAGAAAACUAUCUCGGAAAACUUAAUAAAACCAAAAUUAUACAAUAAACCACCUAAAGCCUUUAUCUUUUUAUUAAAGAAAGAAAAUUAACUUCAUUUAAUAUAUAUUCGAA